AUGGCUCAGGAUGAACGCUAGCUACAGGCUUAACACAUGCAAGUCGAGGGGCAGCAUGUGGUUGCUUGCAACCAAUGAUGGCGACCGGCGCACGGGUGAGUAACGCGUAUCCAACCUUCCCCUUAGUAGAGGAUAGCCCGGCGAAAGUCGGAUUAAUACUCUAUGUUCUUCAAUGCGGACAUCUAAGUUGAAGCAAAGAUUUAUCGCUAAGGGAUGGGGAUGCGUCUGAUUAGGUUGCAGGCGGGGUAACGGCCCACCUGGCCUACGAUCAGUAGGGGUUCUGAGAGGAAGGUCCCCCACACUGGUACUGAGACACGGACCAGACUCCUACGGGAGGCAGCAGUGAGGAAUAUUGGUCAAUGGGCGCGAGCCUGAACCAGCCAAGUAGCGUGCAAGGACGACUGCCCUAUGGGUUGUAAACUGUCUUUUAUCAGGGAAUAAAGUGAGGCACGCGUGCCUUUUUGUAUGUACCUGAUGAAUAAGGACCGGCUAAUUCCGUGCCAGCCGCCGC
rnacentral:rRNA from 1 species